rnacentral:rRNA from 1 species
AACGAUAGCUAAGACCGCAUAGGUACGGACACUGCAUGGUGACCGUAUUAAAAGUGCCUCAAAGCACUGGUAGAGGAUGGACUUAUGGCGCAUUAGCUGGUUGGCGGGGUAACGGCCCACCAAGGCGACGAUGCGUAGCCGACCUGAGAGGGUGACCGGCCACACUGGGACUGAGACACGGCCCAGACUCCUACGGGAGGCAGCAGUAGGGAAUUUUCGGCAAUGGGGGAAACCCUGACCGAGCAACGCCGCGUGAAGGAAGAAGGUUUUCGGAUUGUAAACUUCUGUUAUAAAGGAAGAACGGCGGCUACAGGAAAUGGUAGCCGAGUGACGGUACUUUAUUAGAAAGCCACGGCUAACUACGUGCCAGCAGCCGCGGUAAUACGUAGGUGGCAAGCGUUAUCCGGAAUUAUUGGGCGUAAAGAGGGAGCAGGCGGCAGCAAGGGUCUGUGGUGAAAGCCUGAAGCUUAACUUCAGUAAGCCAUAGAAACCAGGCAGCUAGAGUGCAGGAGAGGAUCGUGGAAUUCCAUGUGUAGCGGUGAAAUGCGUAGAUAUAUGGAGGAACACCAGUGGCGAAGGCGACGAUCUGGCCUGCAACUGACGCUCAGUCCCGAAAGCGUGGGGAGCAAAUAGGAUUAGAUACCCUAGUAGUCCACGCCGUANACGAUGAGUACUAAGUGUUGGAUGUCAAAGUUCAGUGCUGCAGUUAACGCAAUAAGUAC